CUGGUGCCAGCAGCCGCGGUAAUUCCAGCUCCAAUAGCGUAUAUUAAAGUUGUUGCAGUUAAAAGCUCGUAGUUGAAUUUCGGGGUUAGUAGGUUGGUCAUGCCUCUGGUAUGUACUGGUCUCACUGAUUCCUCCUUCCUGAUGAACCGUAAUGCCAUUAAUUUGGUGUUGCGGGGAAUUUGGACUGUUACUUUGAAAAAAUUAGAGUGUUUAAAGCAAGCUAACGCUUGAAUACAUUAGCAUGGAAUAAUGAAAUAGGACGUUCGAUCCUAUUUUGUUGGUUUCUAGGAUUGACGUAAUGAUUAAUAGGGAUAGUUGGGGGCAUUAGUAUUCAAUUGUCAGAGGUGAAAUUCUUGGAUUUAUUGAAGACUAACUACUGCGAAAGCAUUUGCCAAGGAUGUUUUCAUUAAUCAAGAACGAAAGUUAGGGGAUCGAAGACGAUCAGAUACCGUCGUAGUCUUAACCAUAAACUAUGCCGACUAGGGAUCGGAUGAUGUUAAUUUUUUAAUGACUCAUUCGGCGCCUUAC
rnacentral:rRNA from 1 species